CAGCCGCCGCGGGAAUACGUAGGGUGCGAGCGUUAAUCGGAAUUACUGGGCGUAAAGCGUGCGCAGGCGGUUGUGCAAGACAGGUGUGAAAUCCCCGGGCUUAACCUGGGAACUGCGCUUGUGACUGCACAGCUAGAGUAUGGCAGAGGGGGGUGGAAUUCCACGUGUAGCAGUGAAAUGCGUAGAGAUGUGGAGGAACACCGAUGGCGAAGGCAGCCCCCUGGGCCAAUACUGACGCUCAUGCACGAAAGCGUGGGGAGCAAACAGGAUUAGAUACCCCUGUAGUCCCUGUCUCUUAUAC
rnacentral:rRNA from 1 species